ACAUGAGCAUAUAAACUUUCAUGAUGCUUCUAGAUAAUUCUAUAAGGGCUGGAGAACCUGCCAUACAAGGAAAAACUGAAGGAGUUAGAUUAUACCACCCUGAAGCACAAAAGACUUGGGGCCAUCUCACCACGGUAUUCUAGUACUUAAAGGAUGGAGACUCUCUCUUCACAGGGAACCAUAUGGAGAAGACAAACGUCUUGCUGACACUGAAGACCAGAGGAGGAAAAUAAAAUAAAAAGUCCCCAAGGAGACAGAACUUUGACUAGGAUAAAUCAAGCUCAACAAGGCUGUGUCAUCUUGGCAAUGGGGCCACACAAUGAUCUCAGUGACAACAGAAAGUUACGGCAAAGUAAUGUGAUUUCUACUGAGGAGUUCUGCUACAAGGACUAAAUGUCUCAAUGAGCAUGCAAGUGUGAAGAGUGUGAAGAGUCUGUGCAAGACUGUCUUUCACGACAACAAGGCCACCUUCUGAUAUGAGAAGUUUUGCUUGGAAGAACAUUUAUUUUGAAGUGAAAUUACUGAAGGUCUAUGUGAGUUAGAACAUUCAGUGAAUUAUAUUAGCAACUGACAAGUUAUAUUCAAAUUUCAUUUACUGUGUGGAAAAUUAUUUUGUGUUAACUCCACUAUUUAGUGGCAAGCCUGAUUAGAUUACAGAUUUCUUUCAUGGCUUUGUAAGGACAUGGUCAACCACCUACAAUUUUGUUUAGUUGUUUAUUGCCAACUGUUUUUUUUUUUCUGUCUGAUAAAUCUUUUUACAAAUAUUUAUGUGGUGACACCUAGUGGCUUUAAAUAAAAUGCUUCUUGUUGAUAGCC
ensembl:lncRNA